rnacentral:rRNA from 1 species
UACGGAGGAUGCGAGCGUUAUCCGGAUUUAUUGGGUUUAAAGGGUGCGUAGGCGGACUGUCAAGUCAGCGGUAAAAUUGAGAGGCUCAACCUCUCCCAGCCGUUGAAACUGGUGGUCUUGAGUGGAUGAGAAGUACGCGGAAUGCGUGGUGUAGCGGUGAAAUGCAUAGAUAUCACGCAGAACUCCGAUUGCGAAGGCAGCGUACCGGCAUCCAACUGACGCUGAGGCACGAAAGCGUGGGGAUCAAACAGG